rnacentral:misc_RNA from 1 species
UUUGUGAGAAUGUUUUUGUUUAGUUUUUUUGUGAAGAUGAAUUCGUUUUUAACGAAAUUUUUAUAGAGGUUUAUAUAUUUAUUUGUAGAAUUUAAAGAAAGAGAGUUUUAAAAUUGUUUUAUUAGUAGGAUUGUUUAUUUUUGUGAGUUGAAUGUAGUUAUUAUAGGAAAUAUUUUGAGAAUGUUUUUGUUUAGGUUUGAUGUGAAGAUAUAUUUGUUUUGAAGGAAGGUUAUAAAGUGGUUUAAAUAUUUAUUUGUAGAUU